GGCGAAGUGGCAGCUCAGUGGUUAGAUGUUGAACUUCUGAUCGGAAGGUUGUGAGUUCAAAUCCCAGCACCGCCA